rnacentral:rRNA from 1 species
UUGCUAGAUUGAUGGCGAGUGGCGAACGGGUGAGUAAUACAUCGGAACGUGCCCUGUAGUGGGGGAUAACUAGUCGAAAGAUUAGCUAAUACCGCAUACGACCUGAGGGUGAAAGUGGGGGACCGCAAGGCCUCAUGCUAUAGGAGCGGCCGAUGUCUGAUUAGCUAGUUGGUGGGGUAAAGGCCCACCAAGGCGACGAUCAGUAGCUGGUCUGAGAGGACGAUCAGCCACACUGGGACUGAGACACGGCCCAGACUCCUACGGGAGGCAGCAGUGGGGAAUUUUGGACAAUGGGCGAAAGCCUGAUCCAGCAAUGCCGCGUGUGUGAAGAAGGCCUUCGGGUUGUAAAGCACUUUUGUCCGGAAAGAAAUGGCUCUGGUUAAUACCUGGGGUCGAUGACGGUACCGGAAGAAUAAGGACCGGCUAACUACGUGCCAGCAGCCGCGGUAAUACGUAGGGUCCAAGCGUUAAUCGGAAUUACUGGGCGUAAAGCGUGCGCAGGCGGUUGUGCAAGACCGAUGUGAAAUCCCCGAGCUUAACUUGGGAAUUGCAUUGGUGACUGCACGGCUAGAGUGUGUCAGAGGGGGGUAGAAUUCCACGUGUAGCAGUGAAAUGCGUAGAGAUGUGGAGGAAUACCGAUGGCGAAGGCAGCCCCCUGGGAUAACACUGACGCUCAUGCACGAAAGCGUGGGGAGCAAACAGGAUUAGAUACCCUGGUAGUCCACGCCCUAAACGAUGUCAACUAGUUGUUGGGGAUUCAUUUCCUUAGUAACGUAGCUAACGCGUGAAGUUGACCGCCUGGGGAGUACGGUCGCAAGAUUAAAACUCAAAGGAAUUGACGGGGACCCGCACAAGCGGUGGAUGAUGUGGAUUAAUUCGAUGCAACGCGAAAAACCUUAC